UCCAGACUCCUACGGGAGGCAGCAGUGGGGAAUAUUGCACAAUGGGGGAAACCCUGAUGCAGCGACGCCGCGUGAGUGAAGAAGUAUUUCGGUAUGUAAAGCCCUAUCAGCAGGGAAGAAAGAAGACGGUACCUGACUAAGAAGCCCCGGCUAACUACGUGCCAGCAGCCGCGGUAAUACGUAGGGGGCGAGCGUUAUCCGGAUUCACUGGGUGUAAAGGGAGCGUAGACGGCCGUGCAAGCCAGGAGUGAAAGCCCGGGGCCCAACCCCGGGACUGCUCUUGGAACUGUGCGGCUGGAGUGCGGGAGGGGCAGGCGGAAUUCCUGGUGUAGCGGUGAAAUGCGUAGAUAUCAGGAGGAACACCGGCGGCGAAGGCGGCCUGCUGGACCGCGACUGACGUUGAGGCUCGAAAGCGUGGGGAGCGAACAGGAUUAGAUACCCGGGUAA
rnacentral:rRNA from 1 species